rnacentral:rRNA from 1 species
GUCCUAGCCCUAAACGAUGGAUGCUUGGUGUGAUCGGUACCCAAUCCGAUUGUGCCGGAGCUAACGCGUUAAGCAUCCCGCCUGGGGAGUAUGGUCGCAAGGCUGAAACUCAAAGGAAUUGACGGGGGCCCCGCACAAGCGGUGGAGCAUGUGGUUCAAUUCGACGCAACGCGAAGAACCUUACCUGGGCUCGAAGCGUAGUGGACCGGGGUAGAAAUAUCCCUUCCCGCAAGGGCUGCUACGUAGGUGCUGCAUGGCUGUCGU